UCACUGUGAGGUCUACUACACCUGUUGUAUUCAGCAUUUCACUGUAAGGUCUACUACACCUGUUGUAUUCAGCAUUUCACUGUAAGGUCUACUACACCUGUUGUAUUCAGCAUUUCACUGUAAGGUCUACUACACCUGUUGUAUUCAGCAUUUCACUGUGAGGUCUACUACACCUGUUGUAUUCAGCAUUUCACUGUAAGGUCUACUACACCUGUUGUAUUCAGCAUUUCACUGUAAGGUCUACUACACCUGUUGUAUUCAGCAUUUCACUGUAAGGUCUACUACACCUGCUGUAUUCAGCAUUUCACUGUAAGGUCUACUACACCUGCUGUAUUCAGCAUUUCACUGUAAGGUCUACUACACCUGCUGUAUUCAGCAUUUCACUGUAAGGUCUACUACACCUGUUGUAUUCAGCAUUUCACUGUAAGGUCUACUACACCUGUUGUAUUCAGCAUUUCACUGUGAGGUCUACUACACCUGCUGUAUUCAGCAUUUCACUGUAAGGUCUACUACACCUGUUGUAUUCAUCAUGUAUUCAGACGAAGUGCACUACAAAUGGCACCCUAUUCCCCAUAGGGCUCUGG